rnacentral:rRNA from 1 species
AUUGAACGCUGGCGGCAGGCCUAACACAUGCAAGUCGAACGGUAGCACAGAGAGCUUGCUCUCGGGUGACGAGUGGCGGACGGGUGAGUAAUGUCUGGGAAACUGCCCGAUGGAGGGGGAUAACUACUGGAAACGGUAGCUAAUACCGCAUAACGUCGCAAGACCAAAGUGGGGGACCUUCGGGCCUCACACCAUCGGAUGUGCCCAGAUGGGAUUAGCUAGUAGGUGGGGUAAUGGCUCACCUAGGCGACGAUCCCUAGCUGGUCUGAGAGGAUGACCGGCAACACAGGAACUGAGACACGGUCCAGACUCCUACGGGAGGCAGCAUUGGGGAAUAUUGUGCAAUGGGCGCAAGCCUGAUGCAGCCAUGCCGCGUGUAUGAAGAAGGCCUUCGGGUUGUAAAGUACUUUCAGCGGGGAGGAAGGCGGUGAAGUUAAUAACUUCACCGAUUGACGUUACCCGCAGAAGAAGCACCGGCUAACUCCGUGCCAGCCGCCGCCGUAA